rnacentral:lncRNA from 1 species
UUUUAAAGGAAACUUUGCGGGACUGAAGGAGAAAAAGGAGCUGAGGACUGUGGCACUAAAAGAAAUGAAGUCGGGUAUCUAUAGACCCCACAGAGACAUGUCACAUUUUCAUUUCCUUCGUCUCCUUUAGAGAUAACAACAGUUCCAUGAAGGCUGUUUCUCGUGUCUAGUUAAAGCUCUACAGUGAGAACUUUGCCUGUUCUCAGAUUUGGAAAUUGUGACAGACAGGAUUGAGCAAAAUACAGAGAAAGAAGGCUUGAGCAAACUGGAAAAAUCAUGAAGCCACCUCCCCUAAGCUCCAGAGGCACCAUCAUCACAGAAGCUGGAGUUGUAUCAACACAGAAGCGGAAUCCAUCCAUUGGCAGUUAUGAUGAGAAGCCCAGAGAUAUUUUGGCAGCUAAUAUACAAUCAUUCUAGUCCUACCAUUUAAGGAGAAAGAAAGGCUGGGG